UGCAGUGACCUAAUUGAUCAGAUGCCGUUUCUCUCUUUUCUCCACCCUCACUUCUGAUGCCUACAUAUCCCUCUAGACCACAGAUAAACAUGGAAGAUGAUAUGGUCAGGCAUUUUGCCUAAAGGUGAGCAAGAUCUCCAGAAAGUGUUGGGUGGAUGGAAGGCCUUGGGUGGACCAGGGCUGAUGGAGCUCAGAGUUUUUGUCACUCCGGAUGCCAUGGCCACUGGCCUCUCUGGUAUGUUGGCGGAGCUGGUGCCGCGUAGAAAAGACCCGUAUUGACUAAGGAUCUGUGGGUUGACUCAGGGCUGUUGGGGGAGGACGUGGCCAUAAUUACCUUCAUGGGAUUGAAGGGCUGAUCCUAUUAGCGUGUUGGGCUAACCCCUUCCUCCUGGGCAUUGCCUCCUGGCCAGCAGCAGGGGUUUAAUGGAUCAAGAUUACGGAGACCAAAGAUGUCGUAUAAUUAAACCCAGUUAUUUCCCUACCUGGGGGACAUCUCUAUCCACAGCAGCAAUUGAUUUCCUCACUUGUGGUCGCCCUGUUCAGCUGCAAGUUACCCUGGGCCUAAACAGCCUGUGGGCCAUCUUUGUGAAUGAGUUUCUCUGUUGAAGGUGCAGUUUUAGGUGAAAAAACCCCUUCUGAGAGUUUUGGGGUCAGAGUGGCAGGGUGUUCUAUACGAUGGGGGCCUCUUUGGGAAACGUGUCUGGGUUCCACAAAGGUACGUAGAAAUCUCACCCUUGGGUCACUCAUGACCCCUGGGCCCAUGAAAAGAAGCUUGUCAGUCCUGCUUGGUUUGUCAAGAUUAGUUUUUCCAUUUGGUCUAAGAAGAACGGAUGUGACAUAUAACCAGCCCUACUACGUGCCAGAUGCUGUGCUACAUACUUUCCUUGAAUUAUCCCUAACAUCCCAACAAAGUAACUGUCAUUAUCCCUCCUGUUUUAUAGACAAGGGAACAGAGGCCCUGUGAGGUUAUUGCCAAAGGGCUCCAGUUUGAAGUGGAUCGGAUUUCAGAUUGCUCUGAUUCUCUGUGUAGCCUUCUGGCGGCAAUGAUGAUGAUAGCCAAUGCUGUUGAGUACCUACUAUGUGUCGACACUGUCCUAGGCAUUAACCCUGUUAUCACCAGUCCUCAACAGGCCCUAUUUUAUGAGGCAGGAAUUGUUAUCUGUAUUUUAUAGAGAAGAAAUGACCUUAGGGAAGUUAAGUAAUUCAUUCAAGAGAAUGAGAGCUUCUAGCUUCUAGAGCUAGAAGACAAGCCAGGCUUUGAGCACAAGGUUGGCUGGACUCUGAACUGUGCUUUCUCCCACACUCCCUGCCUUUCACAGCAUUGCCAGUGAGGCCCCCCCUUGGCCAGGUAGUUUGUGGAUGUUGAUUGAUCUGCUCACCUCUCUAGCUAAAAUGACAACUGUAAAGACAGGCUUGGCUCCCCCAUGGGGCUCAGAAAGCUCUCAGCCUUCAGGGGGCCUGUAUGUGCCCAUCCACUGGACUACCUCUUCCUAAGGAAUGAUCCCAAGGAGAUCUCCCCAUGGGCACUUGGAGCCCGUAUCCCACCAUUACCUUAUCCCUGGGAUUAUUGCCAAGAAACACUGAUGGCCAACCAAAUUAAGUAAUUAAAUAAAUAAAAUAAAGUUUGAAGGGAAAGAGAGAAAAUAGAUUUUGGGGAUAGAAAUGGGGUACAGCUAGUUCCCAGUUUCUAGAGCAGAGCAGGGCCAGAGGCAAGGCGAUGAGAGCUGGAGGAGGAGAGGACUCGGCAGAGCCACACUGGCCUCCCUCUCAGGCCUUUUAAAAUUCACCUCCACGGUUUCCAAAGGAGAAUAAAGGGCCCUCAGCCCUAAAUCAGGCCACUGCACACCAAGGUCCUUUGCCGAGGCCCAGGGCCAGUUGGGCUGCAGAUCCAGCCUCUGUGUUUGAACUCACCCACGCGCAGCAUGCUAAUGAUGGGCUGGUUUGGUGCAGACCCUUCAGCCCCUCUCCGCACGCCCCCACGGCCCCAGAGCCCAGAGUCCCCUGCUGAGCAGCAGCCUGUGCCUGGUGGCUUACACCCUAGCACAUGGUUGCAAAGAGGGUUUGUGUGUGGUGAGUGUUCUGGAUGGGAUAAAACGGAGGAACGCCCUGCCCUGAGCUGAGAACCAAAGCCAGAAGGCGCCAGUGGGGAGGAGAAGGGGGGAGCUCCCUGACCCCAUUCUCUUCCUUUCCCCUCCCUGCCCACAACUUCAUGGGCAGCUUACUUCCUGCACGAAGCCUGUAGGCAUUUUUAGGAAUCCUUCUUUGGUUGGGUGUGGGGACCCAUGAACCUUCCCCUCCCUUGCUCCUGUUUGUAGAGGAGUUUCUAGUAAGAAGUUUCCAUUGCUUCUGCCUCCCUGUGGUUCCAGGACGCAGCCAGACCAGAGGCUCAGCCUGGACAAGAUCCGUCUCCUAGGUGCAACCUUGUGGCGUACCCCCAUACCCCCCGAGCUUUCUCCUGGUCUUCCUGUGCUUCCUGCCCUUCCCCGCACCCCCCGCCCCCCAGCCCCCACUGUCUUUCAAGGGAAGAGACACCACUCGGGGAAGACUGAUGAAAUGGGCUGCCCAAGAAUUGAGAGGGCCUGGUGAUGGCGAUCCUGUCCUUCCAAAGAGGAUGCGACUUCACCCUAGUGCUUCUCCACAGGUCCUUCUGUGCAGGACCUGCAGUAUGAAAACAGUGGACACAAUACUCUCAGAGGGCUUUUAUGAACCGUAAGGAAUAAUAAUUUACCAGACCGCAGUCAUGGAUAUACCGCUGUUGUGAUUUUCGCCAGAUUUACACAGUUCUGUUCUUAUGAACUUAGCGUUCUUCUUCAAUUUGAUUUAUUGUUUGAAAUAUAACUUAGAAAGAGAACUAGUGAAAAUUCUGUACCGCUUGCAACAAACCAAAAGUUACCUUACCAAUAAACAUGCUAAA